AGACCCGAAACCCGGUGAUCUAGCCAUGGGCAGGUUGAAGGUUGGGUAACACUAACUGGAGGACCGAACCGACUAAUGUUGAAAAAUUAGCGGAUGACCUGUGGCUGGGGGUGAAAGGCCAAUCAAACCGGGAGAUAGCUGGUUCUCCCCGAAAGCUAUUUAGGUAGCGCCUCGUGAAUUCAUCUCCGGGGGUAGAGCACUGUUUCGGCUAGGGGGCCAUCCCGGCUUACCAACCCGAUGCAAACUGCGAAUACCGGAGAAUGUUAUCACGGGAGACACACGGCGGGUGCUAACGUCCGUCGUGAAGAGGGAAACAACCCAGACCGCCAGCUAAGGUCCCAAAGUCAUGGUUAAGUGGGAAACGAUGUGGGAAGGCCCAGACAGCCAGGAUGUUGGCUUAGAAGCAGCCAUCAUUUAAAGAAAGCGUAAUAGCUCACUGGUCGAGUCGGCCUGCGCGGAAGAUGUAACGGGGCUAAACCAUGCACCGAAGCUGCGGCAGCGACGCUGAUGCGUUGUUGGGUAGGGGAGCGUUCUGUAAGCCUGUGAAGGUGGCCUGUGAGGGUUGCUGGAGGUAUCAGAAGUGCGAAUGCUGACAUAAGUAACGAUAAAGCGGGUGAAAAGCCCGCUCGCCGGAAGACCAAGGGUUCCUGUCCAACGUUAAUCGGGGCAGGGUGAGUCGACCCCUAAGGCGAGGCCGAAAGGCGUAGUCGAUGGGAAACGGGUUAAUAUUCCCGUACUUGGUGUUACUGCGAAGGGGGGACGGAGAAGGCUAUGUUGGCCGGGCGACGGUUGUCCCGGUUUAAGCGUGUAGGUGUGUGUUCCAGGUAAAUCCGGUUCACUUUAACACUGAGGCGUGAUGACGAGGCACUACGGUGCUGAAGCAACAAAUGCCCUGCUUCCAGGAAAAGCCUCUAAGCAUCAGGUAACAUCAAAUCGUACCCCAAACCGACACAGGUGGUCAGGUAGAGAAUACCAAGGCGCUUGAGAGAACUCGGGUGAAGGAACUAGGCAAAAUGGUGCCGUAACUUCGGGAGAAGGCACGCUGACACGUAGGUGAAGUGAUUUACUCAUGGAGCUGAAGUCAGUCGAAGAUACCAGCUGGCUGCAACUGUUUAUUAAAAACACAGCACUGUGCAAACACGAAAGUGGACGUAUACGGUGUGACGCCUGCCCGGUGCCGGAAGGUUAAUUGAUGGGGUCAGCGCAAGCGAAGCUCCUGAUCGAAGCCCCGGUAAACGGCGGCCGUAACUAUAACGGUCCUAAGGUAGCGAAAUUCCUUGUCGGGUAAGUUCCGACCUGCACGAAUGGCGUAAUGAUGGCCAGGCUGUCUCCACCCGAGACUCAGUGAAAUUGAACUCGCUGUGAAGAUGCAGUGUACCCGCGGCAAGACGGAAAGACCCCGUGAACCUUUACUAUAGCUUGACACUGAACAUUGAGCCUUGAUGUGUAGGAUAGGUGGGAGGCUUUGAAGUGUGGACGCCAGUCUGCAUGGAGCCGGCCUUGAAAUACCACCCUUUAAUGUUUGAUGUUCUAACGUGGACCCGUGAUCCGGGUUGCGGACAGUGUCUGGUGGGUAGUUUGACUGGGGCGGUCUCCUCCUAAAGAGUAACGGAGGAGCACGAAGGUUGGCUAAUCCUGGUCGGACAUCAGGAGGUUAGUGCAAUGGCAUAAGCCAGCUUGACUGCGAGCGUGACGGCGCGAGCAGGUGCGAAAGCAGGUCAUAGUGAUCCGGUGGUUCUGAAUGGAAGGGCCAUCGCUCAACGGAUAAAAGGUACUCCGGGGAUAACAGGCUGAUACCGCCCAAGAGUUCAUAUCGACGGCGGUGUUUGGCACCUCGAUGUCGGCUCAUCACAUCCUGGGGCUGAAGUAGGUCCCAAGGGUAUGGCUGUUCGCCAUUUAAAGUGGUACGCGAGCUGGGUUUAGAACGUCGUGAGACAGUUCGGUCCCUAUCUGCCGUGG
rnacentral:rRNA from 1 species